rfam:Virgibacillus soli strain PL205 scaffold000037, whole genome shotgun sequence.
AGAUUAGGACCAAAGGCUAAAUACUCGCCGUCCUGGCGAAACGCCUUUGUGACCCACAUCCUGUGGG